UCGAAGAGUGUGUGAAAAGCUUGGAUCAUCAGAGUGACUAAAUCUAGUCAUAACUUCGGCAAACGUAUGAACCCAAGGGCCAUUGUGGAUGGUGGCCGAAUGUGAGAAAUCACAUAGGAGAUCUCGACUAGGGACUUGUGAGCAAGCGAACGCUCAUUAGUCAGUUAGAUUCGUUGAGAUGAUGAUCGGGAAGGUUGGAAAAGGUGAGCCUUGAUAUGGGGACUUGGGCAGGAGGGGAUUCAGAGUGGCCACGGUGAUCGCUUUUGGACCUUUAAAUAAGCGUUGGUUUUCAUUUAAUUUCCUUUAUUUAUUAUUUAUUUUUGGGUUGUAAUAAGGCCAUUUUUAACUUUUCUUUUAUUUCUUCUCGGGAUUAUUUUAUUUUUAAUAACUUCAAACCUGGUUGAUAAUUGUUCAAA